CCCUUAGAUGUCCUGGGCCGCACGCGCGCUACACUGAGUGUCUGAGACACGAGUCUGCCUGGUCCGGCAAGGUCUAGGUAAUCGCUAAAAGACACAUCAUGCUUGGGAUAGAUUAUUGCAAAUAUUAAUCUUGAACGAGGAAUUCCUAGUAAGCGCAAGUCAACAGCUUGCGUUGAUUACGUCCCUGCCCUUUGUACACACCGCCCGUCGCUACUACUGAUUGGAUGUUUAAGCGAGGUUCUCGAACUGCUAGCGACUUAGCUUCGGUGAGGUCGCAGUGUGGGAAGUGAACCUAGCUUUGGUGUCUAGAGGAAGUAAAAGUCGUAACA
rnacentral:rRNA from 1 species